GGUUCCGCAAAAAGAUGUUUGAGGAUAUUGACCGGCUUGUGGCAUAUUUUCAAAGGCACAUCGAUGAUCCACAAAAUGAUUCAGCACCUUCCAUUAGGUCAGUAGCUGCAAUGGUGCCAAUGCGAAGCCCUGCUACUGGUGGCUCAUCAGGAGCAUCUGUGGGUAGUGGCUGGGGUGGUUCAAACAGCGAGGGUGGUUGGAGAGGUCCCUCGUAUGAUAGGGACCGGUCUUCUACUCCUGGUUCCAGAACAGGUAUGAGAUUUUAAAUUCAGCUCUAGUUUGAGGUGAAUCUAAUUAUUUUGUUUGGAUUUCUUCUGCUAGUAUUGCGCCUGCUUUGACAUUAAAUAUAAUUAGUUAUCAUGAAUCCUCUUGUUAUCAACAUGUUGAUUGGUUCCUUCUUCUGUGCAUUUUGUUCUACAUCUACCUGUUCUCUUUGUCUGCAGUUCACAUAUCAUUCAACUAAUUGCUUCCGCAUGUCAUUUUUCUAGUUCUUUUUAUUCAAAAUUAACUGUUUCUUUAUUUUUACAGGACGACCUGAUUACAGAAAUAAUGGGAAUCGAGAUGAACACCCUAGUGGAUUGCCUCGUCCAUAUGGUGGUGGUCGAGGGCGUGGUCGCGGUUCUUAUAGUAAUAAUAGUAGAGGACACAACUCCAACCACGAAAGACGUGCCGGUGCAACCAGAUGGGGAUCUGCUGUGAAAGACGGGGAUGACAGUUUAAGCAACUUCCCAGGGGCUAAGGUUCAAAAUUCCCCUGGAAGAGAAGCAUUUCCAGGUGGUUGGGGAGGUGGAGCUAGUGGUGGUGACAAAAGUGGCUGGGGAGGUGGAGCUAAUGGUGGUGACAAAAGUGGCUGGGGAGGUGGAGCUAGUGGUGGUGACAAAAGUGGAUGGGGAGGUGGAGCUAGUGGUGGGGACAAAAGUGGCUGGGGUGCUGGUCCAAGCGAUGCUGAACAGGGAAACUCUGGUUGGGGAACUGGAUCCAAGAAAGCCGGAGACAAUGGAUGGUCUGGAAACUGACCGGGCGGAAUCCACAGAGCAUUCACAUUCAUCUGUAAUUUCUCUUUAAAUCCACUCAUUUGAAUGAUAAAAUGUGGAUUAUUAAUUUAUUAGAGUAAUUGUAGUUGAUCUUGACUAUGGAACUCUGCAUUUCGUUUUCACAUUAAAAUUUCGAUUAUAUGUUCAUCGAACGACAACUGUCGAAUAUGAUUUAUAGUUUACUAAUAAGAUAAGAGGCCUGGUUGCUCGAGCUGGUGCGGAGGGGAACCUCCCGCUGUACAGGCCAUGAUAAUUUUAUGGCAGAAUUUGAUCUACGUAGCCGACCCCAUUCAGUGAGAUAAAUCUUGAUUGUUGUUAUCUGAUGUGUGUAAUAUCAAAUUGAUAUGCUUAACUGACGUAUGACGUUUUCACAGUUGCAGCUUUUCUACCGAUGGAAGUACUAAAGCGCGGAGAACUUUAGCGAUCAUAAAGCCGGAUGGAUUGCUCGGUAACUACACAGAUGAUAUCAAGAGAACAAUUUCAGAAUAUGGUUUCAGCAUUGUCAAGGAACAGAUUGUUCAACUUGGCGAGGCGACUGUGAAAAGAUUUUAUGCAGAACACUCUUCAAAAAGCUUCUUUUCAAGCCUAGUUAAAUACAUGACAAGGUUCGUCCAUUUUAAGGCCAAACUCCGUUCCGCUGAGCAAUUUUUUUUCAUAUUGCUAAUGGAUUCGAUCAAUAAGCACACAUGUCUAGCUUCAUCACUAUGUCUGAUAAUGUUAUCGGUUCAUCCAUAUGAUUUCUGUUUAAUUGCAUGUUUAUAGUCUUUUAUCAUCUUUAAUCUUCUCUUUUGCUUCUCCAUAACUAUAAUCAGUGGACCAGUGUUAGUCAUGGUUUUGGAAAAGGAUAAUGUUGUUGCUGAUUGGCGCGCUUUAAUGGGUCCUACUGAUGCAAGCAAGGCCAAGAUUACUCACCCUCACAGGUUUCCAUAAACAUGUUUACUAAUCAAACUAAUUUUGCUUGUUUAAUCGAUUUCUCUAUGCUUAACUUGUUUAUUAAUUUGAACAGCAUUAGAGCAAAAUGUGGAUUGGACACUGAAAAAAAUUGUGUUCAUGGUUCAGACUCUACCAAAUCUGCACAAAGAGAGAUACUAUUUUUCUUCGACGAGCUCGCUCCAGGUGAGUAAUUUUACUCGAGAAUUCAUAAUAUAAAGAUACUUGCUUAUUUAAGUAUUCUUUUGAGAAAGAUUAUAUUCGAAUUAUCAUAAACCUUUGCCUCACCAAUUCUUAUGGCAGAUGCAAUUACAGAACACGAUGAAUUAAUGCGCAUAGUUUAUAGUUUUGGCAUCUGUCAUGAACAUCCUGGCACAUUUGUAUUGACUUACAUAAGAAGUACAAAUCCACACCAUGAGUACAUUGGUCUUUACCCCAAAGGAUUCAGGUUCCGCAAAAAGAUGUUUGAGGAUAUUGACCGGCUUGUGGCAUAUUUUCAAAGGCACAUCGAUGAUCCACAAAAUGAUUCAGCACCUUCCAUUAGGUCAGUAGCUGCAAUGGUGCCAAUGCGAAGCCCUGCUACUGGUGGCUCAUCAGGAGCAUCUGGUGCAGUAGCUGCUGGUGCAGUACCUUUAAUUUAAGAGUCCUAGGUCAGAAAAUAAUGCCUCGUUACGACUACAAAUCUUGACUCUCUAAGUAGCAACGGUACACGGAAAUUACACUUUGUUCUCGUGUUCUAAUUAUCUAAACUAAUUUUAUUGUUUUUCCUACUCCAUGACAUCAAACCAUUCUCAUAGCCUUAGAUAAACAUCGUGAGAAUAGAUAACGAUAUUUGAUACAGCUAUAUGUGGGAUUGAUAAAUCUUUUAUACUAUAACUGAUAUUAUCUUGGAUUUUUUUCCUAUUGUCCACAAGUUCAUGUAAUAUGAAGUGUAUCAAAAGACAUGGAAUCAAAUCAAAUUGAUGUAUGAAUUAUCGUUGUGUCAAUAACUAAUUUAUUGAAGAAAUAUUUAGUUUUGAUUGCAAGGUUGUCUCAAAUGACAUUGUAGUCUAUUUUGUGUUCAAAUUUAUGAUGUAUCAAACAAGAUUGUAUUAAAUGAUAUUGUGAAAAAUUAUGGUUUAUCAACAUCCAUGCUACUUGAUUAAACAAGAAGUGAAAACCCAACACUAAUAAGCAUAUCAUAAUCAACAUACACAUACAUAACAUCUCAAUUAAAUUUGAAUUAAUCGAAAACAAAAACAAAGUAAAAUAAAAAACACUUAAACCAUAACGCGUGAACCUUUCUAUCCAUCUAUCACCAUGACCCACAACAUACAUACAUCAAAUUAACACAAAGUGUAACAGAUUUCCGUCUAUACUCAUCUCAACCUUACACUCAAUUGAUUCACGAGGAAUGCUAAAUCAUUACAUGGAUUACCACAAAAAAACUCUCUUCCAAAAAAAUCACUCUAACUGAAUUCUUUCCCUCUCUCAAUUCACUUAUAAAUUUACAUCAAAUGUUUAGCAUCGGCCUUGACUUCAACACUAAUAGCAUCCAUUUUACGUCACUAAUGGAGGACGUAAACAUGUUUAGUCAUUUAUUUUUUUUAUCUUCACCUACUAGGAUAAAUUAUAUUACAAUAAAACACACUCAUAAUAUGGUCCUCUAAGCCAUCAUCAAAAGAAACAUCACACAAUCUAUUAUUAUGAAAUGCCAAGGAUUAUAAAAGAGCAUAAACUAACAUAAAUUUGAAUAAGUAUAUAUAGUCCAUAUCAUUUUCUCAUCUUCCUCAUUUUUAUGUAUUUGAUUAUUAAGCAAAAACGUAGACGUAGUGGACCUUUGAGAAUUGAGUCAAAAAGUAAGCGGAUUAAUACCUUCCUACUUUUCAUAACCAUAAAAUACCUCACAUAGUAUUUUAGGAUUAUUUUAUCUAUUUUUUAUUAUAUUAUAUUUGGUAUUUUGUGGUUGUGUUAGGUAUUUAACUGUAGUAGAGAUUUUAUGCGAAGCGAAAACGGAACAAAACAGCAAAAAUCGGAAGAAAAUGCCAAGACUGUGUCAUGGAUUUUCAGAACACCACAAAUUCACCCACUACAGCAAUACCUUGAAGGCUUUCUCCCACUUUUCUUCCAUUAUUCAUACUGAUUUUGUGGUGUUAAGUAAUCGAAAUUCCUCCUAUAAAUUAAUCAGUGGUUUAAGCUUUGGUGUUUAUCUUGAAGCAAGUUUUAUAUUGGCACAUUUAAUUUCCACGAGUUUUAUUUUUCUGUAUUGUAUUUAAAACUCCAAUUUUUAGCAAAUUACCAGUUUAUUUUUGAGGUUUUUUUAAUUUGAUUUCUGUUUCAAUUAUUAUUAAUUCAUUUUAUUGUUUGAAGCUUUACAUGUCAUUUUACUAAUUACCUUUAAUCUUAUUUAGUUGUUAUUUUAAUAUGCCAAAUUUAUAUGGAUUAUUCUUCUUAUCUUACCAUUUAAUUAUCAAAUUAUAUUUCAGUGCUAUACUACUUUCAUAAACAUAUAUAUUUGUUUACUGUUAUGUUAUUUCUAUUUAUGCUUGUUCACGUGUUCAAUAUGCUAGCUUAAAUUACGAGAGUCUGGAUGUGAGAACGUCAUACCGACGAUCUCACAUGAAUCACACUAUAACUGAUGUGUAACGGAGAAUUGUUUUUGGUCUUGAAAAUUGGUUUUCAUAACACGUUUGUGCAAUGCGAUGCAGUGCCAAAACGGAAGUCAUGUAUAGCACCUUUUCAGUAAGGGCAGGUCUGGUGGAGGUUGCAAAGCAGGUUUGGGUCUUAGUUCUGAGCAAUUCGUAUUAUGUCUAUCUGAUAGUUAAGCUGGUACGUAUGUUUGUCUAACCAAACCUUUUAUAUAUAAUCACACAAGACUUGCAUAUCAUUAGAAAAACAAACAUAAUGACAAAAAAAUAACAAAUAAAACAAAAAAAUUGGUUUUUUAUUAUCCAUUGUUAGGGUUUCGAAUUUUGAAAUUCGGAUAAAAUUUCAUUUGUUUGUUAUAAACCAUCAUGAUUUUUAUUUAUUUUUUAAUAUUAUAAUUAUAUAAUUUUUAUUAUUCUUUUUAAAUAAAUCUUAUUAUAUUAUUAAUUAUUUUAAAAAAUUAAAAAGUCAAAUUAAAUAUAUUUAACAUAAAACGUGAGGGAUAUUGAGAAAAAAAUUCUGAAAAAUUCAGUUAUUUGUUUAGUAUAGGUUUGGGAUGAAUAAUUAAAAAGAAUAUAUAAAAAAAAAUACAAUAAAUUACACGGUAAAAAAAGAAAAUUUUAUAGUAUCCCAACAAAGGAAAAUGGUCAAUAAUUUGGGUAAUUGACAAAAUGCACUACCAUUGAGACAACGAGGUGCCAAUCUAUAGUAUUGAUCUCUUUUAUUUCAAAACUUCUCAUUCAUAUUAUAUUUCCUUAGAAAUAGUUGUAUCUAGAUUUUUUCUUCAUACAGCACAAACUUUAACGUAACAAUUGGUACCAUAUAAUUAUUUUUAAUUAUGAUGUUUUUGUAAAUAUAGUUUAUGUGUACAGAUGCUCGGGAAAAAUGGGGUAAAUCACGUUAUGCAAUUUUUUCUAAUUCUUUUACUUCUAAAACCAGUGUUACUUGCAUCUUUUUGAUGCAUCCAUUCAGAUAAUUAAAUUGCCAUUUGUUUGUUAAUAACCCAUCAAUUGUGGAUAUGGUUUUUUAUUUUCUACACUAGACAGAUCCUAUAAUUCUUAUUUUAUAUAUAUAGAGAGAGAGGUGGGGGAGGAAGGAGGGAGACUUCCCACUCCUAACAUUUUCCUUUGUCUUUAUAUGAUUAUAUUAAAUUUAAACAGUAUACUACACAUCUUUAAAUAAAAUGUAAUGUAUGCAUAGUCCAUAUCACCAUGUUAUGUCUAAAUUUGCAUCAACCAUGAGAAGCCUAGAAACCCCGGGACUCGGAAAAACUAAAGGCAUGUUUGAAACACUUUUCAAUUUUAGUUCUUAAAAAUUUUUUUUUCAAAAUUAUUUUUAAAAAUUAAAAAAGAAAAUUAACAAAAAAUUUGUUUGAUAAACUAAUUUUUAAACACUGUUUUUGAAAAAUAUGAAAAUGAAAAAACUGUGUUUGAUAAUCUAUCUUUUAAUGUAUGUAAGAAGAGAGAAUAAAAUGUUAGUAUUAUGGUCAUUUACUUUUAAAUCUAUUUUAUUGUAUAAAGUAUUACAAACUAAAAAAUUAAUUGAUAUUUGGUCGAAUAACAAAUAAUUUGGGUUAAAUCAAUAUUUUAAUGUUUUAUGAAAUGAAAAACUUGUUGAUGUAACUAUCUUUUAAGUAUUUUAAGAAGAGAAUAAAAAUGUAUAUUAUUUGUUAUUUACUUUUAAAAUCUAUUUUAUUGUAUAAAAUAUUACAAACUUUAAAAAAAUUAAUCUGAUAUUUGGUCGAAAAUUACAAAUAAGGGUCUAAAUCUAAUUUUAAUUUACAAAUCACAUAAACCUUGUUUGUAAUAAGAUACAGAAAAAGAACAAAUAAAAAAUGGGAUUCCACGGUUUAUAAUAGAGAGAAAAAAUUUAUAAGUGAAAAUAAUUAAGAAACACAAAAAAAUUAAGUAAAAUAAAUAACAUAUUUUUGAAAGGUUAAUUAUACAUAAAAGCGCAUAAAUAAAAGAAAUAACAUACUCUUUAAAAUACAGUUUUUUUAUUUUAUUUUAAAAAUAUAAAAAUUAUUUAAAAUUACAUUAAUGCUAUUAUGAAAAUUAUAAAUUUUAUGUUUUUUUUUCAAUUUUUAAACUAAAAACUAAAAAGUACACAAAUUAAACAGUUAUCACUUUUUGCUUUUAAAAACUGAAAAAUAAAAAGAGUUUUUAAUAACACUUUUAUGAAACAUAUAUAUUCAACAAAUUUUUAAAGGUUAAAUUUUCAAAAACUAAAAAAGAGUUUUAAGAUACAUUUUCAAACAUACCAUCUCUGCGAUGCUUGGAGACUCUUUUUUUUAUAAAUUUAUUUAUUUUUUAAUAUAAUAAAUUUAUAAAUAAUUUAUUUUCUUUUCAAAUAAAAUCUUAUUUAUCUUAUAUCAUUAAUUUUAAUAAAUUAAGAAGAUCAAUAAAUUAUUUAUGCAUAAUUAAAUUUAAUAAUAGUCAAACAUAAAAAUAUAUCAUUUAUUAGAAUUACACUAAUUAUAAAAAGGUGUCUUAUAACUUGAAUGAGUCUAAAAUACUUAAAUGGGAGCAGUUGAAUCAUCACAAAUUUUAAACAGUGGCAGUGGCAUUAUUGGUUAAGUUUACAGUGGCAGGUUAUGUAGUUAACAGAUUCAGUUAAGUUAAGUUGUGUUUUAUCCAUUGACAGUUAAGUUUCUUACGGUAAUAGCGGGUUAGUUGAGCUUCAUACAUAACACAGUGUAACAUUCCACUGGGAAAAUUCUUCUCUCCUCUGUCAGUAAUCUCUCAGUCAAUUGUCACGCAGUUAGGCAGCAGUAAGCGCAUAUGAAAAAAAGGGAGAGUAGCGGUGAAGCCGGUGAAGUAAUCAGAGAAGUUCAAGCUAGUAGCAGCAGUAACGCCGCAUGAAAAAAGGAGAGUAAGCCGGUGAAGCCGACGUGAAGUAAUCAGAGAAGUCAGCUAGUAGCAGCAGUAAGCGCAAUGAAUAAAGGGGAGAGUAAGCCGGUGAAGCCGGUAGAAGUCAGAGAAGUCAAUGCAGUUACGCAGUAAGGCGCAAUGAAAGAGAGGGGAAGAGUAAAGCCGGUAAAGCCGUGACGUAUGUAGAGAAGUCAAGCAGCUAGCACAGUAAGCGCAAUGAAAAAAAGGGGAAGAGUAAAGCCGGUGAAGCCGGUGAAAGUAUUAGAGAAAGUCAAGCAGAGCUAGCAGUAAGCGCAAUGAAAAAAAGGGGAAGAGUAAGCCGGUGAAGCCGGUGAAGUAUAGGAAGUCAAGCAGUAGCAGCAGUAAGCGCAUUGAAAAAAGGGAAGAGUAAAGCCGGUGAAGCCGGUGAAGCCGUGGUGAAGUAUCAGAGAAGUCAAGCAGUAGAGUGUAGCGCAAUGAAAAAAGAGGGAGAGUAAAGCGUGAAGCCGUGAAGAUCAGAGAAGUCAGCAGAGCUUAGCAGUAAGCGCAAUGAAAAAAGGGGAAGAGUAAGUCGUGAAGCGUGAAGACAGAGAGUCAAGCAGUGCAGAGUAGCAUGAAAAGGAAAAGGGAAGCGUGAAGAUCGAGAGGCAAGGAGUCGCAUAAGCCAUGAAAAGGGGAGAAGUAAAGUUGGCGGCCGUGACCAUAGAAGUAGCAGUAGCAGCAAUAAGCUAUGAAAGGAAGAGUAAAACCGGUGAAGCCGAAGUGAGUCAAAGUAAGCGUGAGCGCGAAGAAGAGUAACGGUCGAGAAGCAAGAGUAGCAGAGCAUGAAAGGAGGUACCGGUAAGCCGAAGUAUCAAGAAGUCAAGCAGUGCGCUGUGGAAGAAAAAGGGAAUGGGGAGUAUAAAGCAAGCUUAGGAUAGCGAUGCAGGGAGAAAGCCGGGAUAGGCGUCGAGUACGAGUAACCAAUGAAAAAGGAAGAGUGGCCAAGUUCAGAAGUCAGCAGAGCAGUAGCGCAAUGAAAAAAAGGGGGAAGAGUAAAGCCGGUGAAGCCGGGAGUUCAGGAAGGUAACAGUAGCUAGGCAAAAAAGGAAAGAAACGGUGAGCGUGAGUACGGAGUCAAGCAGUAGCAGCAGUAAGCGCAAAAAAGGAGAGCGGUAAAGCCGUGAGUAUCAAGAAGUCGAGAGCAGCGUAACGCAUAAGGGGUAAGCGUGAAGCCGGUGAAGUAUCGAGAUACGCAGUCUAAGCAAGGGGGAUAAGGUGGCCGGAAGUACAGAAAAGUUCAAGCAUAGCACAUCUAAAGGAAUAACCAAGAGUGAGAGCAGAGGUUUCAGAGUAGAGCGACGAAUGUAAGGGGUAAGCCGUAGGGAGUAUCAAGUCCACAGUAGCGAAUAAGCGCAGAAAAGGAAGUCGAAGCGUAUCAAAGAAGUAGCAGACAGCAGUAACGCAAAGGAACCGUGAGCCGUAGAAGAAAGUCAGAGUAGAGCCGUAGGCAUAAAAAAGGGAGUAAGCGGGAAGCGGAAGUCGAGAAGUCCGCAGUAGUAGCCAAGAAGGGAGAAAACCGGGACGUGAAGUAUCGGAGUCGCAAGUCGCGCGAAGCAAAAAGGGAUAAAGCGUAGCUAAGUUCGGAGUCAAGCAGCAGAAGAUGAAAAAAAGGGGAAGAGUAAAGCCCGGUGCCGGUGAAGAAUCAAGAAUCAGCUAGACAGUAGGCAAGCAAAAGGAGAUUAAGCGUGAAGACGAAAGCAGUAAGAGCGCAGAAAGAGUAAAGCGUGAACCGUGAAGAAGAGAAGUCAAGCAAGUAGCACAAACGCAAUGAAGGGAUAAGCGGGCCCGGUGGACAAGAAUACAGUACAAUGCAUACAAGGGAGAGUUACGUAAGCCGUGAAGUAUCAAAAGCACAGAAGCAGUAAGCGCAUAAAAGAAGAGAAACCUGAAGCAGAAGUCAAAGCAGAGCAGCAGUAAGCCGUAAGGAAGAAGCGGUGACCGCUGAAGUAUCAGAGUCACAGUAGAGAGUAACGGCAUGAAAACGAAGAAGUCGUUGAGCCGGGAAGUAUCAAAGCACAGUAGCAGCAGUAAGCGCAAUGAAAAAAAGGGACGAGAAAGCGUGAGGCUGAAGUUCGAAAUCAAGGUAGAGCAAAGGCAAUAAAAUGAUAAGCGGUGAAGUUGGAGUCGUUAGCACCAAAGUUAAACGAUGAAAGGGAAACCGGUAAGCGAAGUAAUGAGAAGUAGCGAGCAGCGUAAGCGCAAUAAAGGAAGAUAAAGCGGUAAGGGAAGAUGAGAAGUCAGCAGUAGGUAUAAAAAAAGCCGGUGAAGGCCGGAGUUCAGGAAGUAAGAGUAGAGAUAACGCGAAGGAAGAGUAAGCCGAAGCCGAAGUUCGAGCAGCAGUACAGUAAGCGCAAUGAAGGAAAUAAACAGACCGGUGAAGAUCAGGAGUAGCAUAGACAGAACCAAUAAGAAGAAACGGAGUAUAAAGAAGCAUGCAGUGUAACCGAUAAAAAGGGGAAAGAUCCGACCGGUGAAAUCAGAAGUAAGCGUAGGCGAAGCAAAAGGAAGUAAGUCGGUGAUUUAGAGAGUUCAAUGCAAUAACAAUGAAAAAGAGGAAGAGUAAAGCCGUGAAGUCAAAAAGUCAAGCACGGUGGCAUGAAAGGGAAGAAGUAUAACGGAAGCCGGAACGUCAGAGAAUCAAGCAGUAGCAGCGUUAGGCUGAUAAAAGGGAGUAAAUGUGAAGGGACAGGCAAAUGAGCAGAAGCGAAUGAAAAGGGAAGAAGUAACCGUUGAAGCGUGGUGAAGUUAUAGAGAGUCAAGCAUAGCAGUCAGUAGGCAAUGAUAAAAAGGGGAAGAGUAAGGCCGGUGGAAGCCGCUGAAGUAUCAGAGAAGUCAAGCUAGUCUAGCAGCAGUAAGCGCAAUUGAAAAAGGGAGAGUAAAGCCUGAGCGUUGAAGUAUCAGAGAAGUCAAGCCAGUAGCAGCAGUAGCGCAAUGAAAAAAAGGGGAAGAGUAAAGCCGGUGAAGCGGUGAGUAUCCAGAGAAGUCAAGCAGUAGCAGCGUAAGCGAAUGAAAGAAGGGAAGAAGUAAAGCGGUGAAAGCCGGUGCAGUAUCAGAGAAAUCAAGCAGUAGCAUGCAGUAAGCGCAUCUAUGAAAAAAAGGGGAAGAGUAAAGCCGGUGAACGCCGGUGAAAGUAUCAGAGAAGUCAAGCAGUAGCAGCAGUAAAGCGCAAUGAAAAAAAGGGAAGAGUAAACCCGGUGAGCGGUGAAGUAUCACGAGAAGUCAAGCAUAGGCAGCAGUAAGCGCAAUUGGAUAAAAAGGGGAGAGUCAAGCCGGUUAGGGCCGGGUAAGUAUCAGAGAGUCAAGGCAGUAGCAGCAGUAAGCGCAAUGAAAAAAGGGGAAGAGUAGCGGUGAGCCGGUGAAGUUAUAGAGAAGCAAGCGAUAGCAGCAAGUAAAGCCGCAAUGAAAAAAAGGGAAGAGUAAAGCCGGUAGCGGUUGAGAGUUAUCAGAGAAGUUCAAGCAGUAGCAAAGCAGUAAGGCGCAUUGAAAAAAGGGGAAGAAGUAAAGCGCGUGAAGCGUAUCAGAGAAAUCAAGCAGAGUAGCAAGCGUAAGCGCCAACUGAAACAAGGGAAGAGUAAAGCCGGUUUGAGCCUGUAAAGUAUCAGAGAAGUCAAGCAGUAGCACAGUAAGCGCAAUGAAAAAAGGGGAAGUAGAAGAGGUAAAGCCGGGAAGUAUCAGAGGAAUCAAAGCAGUAGCAGCAGUAAGCGCAAUGAUAAAAGGGAGAGUAAAGCCGGUGAAGCGUGAAGUAUCAGAGAAUCAGCAGUAGCAGCAGUAAGCGCAAUAUGAAAAGGGGAGAGUAACUUGAAAGCCGGUGAGUAUCAGAGAAGUCAAAGCAGUAGCAGCAGUAAGCGCAAUGAAAAAGGGGGAAGAGUAAAGCCGGUGAGCCGUGAAGUAUCAGAGAAGAUCAGAGCAGUAGCAGCAAGUGAAGCGCAUGAAAAAAAGGGAAGAGUAAAGCCGUGAGGUGAAGUAUCAGAGAACGUCAAGAGUAGCAGCAGUAAGCGCAAUGAAAAAAAAGGGAAGAAGUAAAGCCGGUGAAGCCGCUUGAGUAUCGAGAAAGUCAAGCAGUAGCAGCCGUAAGCCGCAAUGAAAAAAAGGGGAAGAGUAGCGAAGCCCGGUGAAAGAUUCAGAGAAGUCAAGCAGUAGCACGCAGUCAAGCGCAAUGAAAAAAAGGAAGAGUAGCCGGUGGAAGCCGGUGAAGUAUCAGAGAAGUCAAGCGUAGCAGCCGUAGCGCAAUGAAAAAAAGGGGAAGAGUAAAGCCGUGAAGCCGGUGAAGUAUCAGAGAAGUCAAGCAGUAGCAGCAGUAACGCAAUGAAAAAAGGGAGAGUAAAGCCGAUGAAGCCAGUGGUAUCAGAGAAGUCAGCAGUAGCAGCAGUAAGCGCAAUGAAAAAAGGGGAAGAGUAAGUCGGUGAACCGUUAGUAUCAGAGAAGUCAAGCACAGUAGCAGCAGUAAGCGCAAUAAAAAGGGGAGAGUAAAGCCGAUGAAGCGUGAAUAUCAGAGAAGUCCAAGCUAGUAGCAGCGUUAAGCGCAAUGAAAAAAAAGGGGAGAGUUAAAGUUCGGUGAAGUUAGAGAAGUCAAGCAGUAGCAGCAGGAAGCGCAAUGAAAAAAAGGGAGAAGUAAAGCCGGUGAAGUAAGUAUCAAGAGAAGUAAGCAGUAGCAGCAGUAAGCGCAAUGAAAAAAAAGGGGAAGAGUUAAAGCCGGUGAAGCCGGUAAGUAAUCAGAGAAUUCAGCAGGUAGCAGCAGUAAGCGCAAUUGAAAAAAAGGGGAAGAGUAAAGCCGGUGAAGCGUGAAGUAUCAGAGAGAAGUCAAGCAAGUAGAGCAGUAAGCGCAAUGAAAAAAAGGAAGAGUUUUAAAUCCUUGAAGCCCGGUGAAGUUAUUAGAGAAUCACGCCAGUCGAGCAGCAGUAGCGCAAUGAAAAAAAGGAAGGUAAGCCGGUGAAGCCGCUGAAGUAUAGAGAAGUCAAGCAAAGUAGCAGCAGUAAGGCAAUGGAAAAAAAGGAAAGCAGCAAGAGUAAGCCGAGUGACGUAUCAGAGAAGUCAGCAAGUAGCAGCGUAAGCGCAAUGAAAAAGGGGAGAGUAAGCCUGAAGCCGGUGAGUACAGAGAAGUCAAAAGCUAAGUAUUUAGCAAGCGUAAGCCAAUGAAAAAAAGGAAGAGUUUUAAGCCGGUGAAAGCCGCGUGAAGUUCGAGAAAUCAAGCAAGUAAAUAGUAGCGCAGUCAAGCGCAAUGAAAGAAAGGAAAGUAAAGCCGGUUGAAAGCGGUAAAGUUCAGAAAGUAAGGCAGUUGCAGCAGUAAGCGCAAUGGAAAAAAAAGGGAGAGUAAACCCGGUGAGCCAGUGAAAGUAUCAGAGAAAGAAGUCAAGCAGUAGGCAGCAGUAAGCGCAAUGAUAAAAAGGGGAGAGUAAAGCCGGUGAAGCCGGUGAAAGUAGCAGAGAAGUCAAGCAGUAGCAGCAGAUAACGCAAUGAAAAAAAGGAAGAGUAAAGCCGUGGAAGCCGGUGAAGUAUCAGAGAGUCAAGCACUAGCCAGCAGUAAGCGCAAUGAAAAAGGGAAGAGUAAAGCGGUCUAGGCGGUGAGUAUCAGAGAAGUCAAGCAGUAGCCAGCGAUAAGCGCAAUGAAAAAGGGGAAAGAGUAUAGCGGUGAAUAUCCGAGAAGUCAAGCACGGGUAGCAGCAGUAGCGCAAUGAAAAAAAGGGGAAGAGUAAAGCCGGUGAAGCCGCGUGAGUAUCAGAGAAGGUCAAGCAGUAGCAACUUAGCCAAUGUGGAAAAAAAGGAAGAGUAAAGGCGCGGUGAAGCCGGUGAAGUAUCAGAGAAUCAAGCGUAGCAGCAGUAAGCGCAAUUUGAAAAAGGGGAAGAGUAAAGCGGUGAAGCGGUGAAGUAUCAGAGAAGUCAAGCUAGCAGCAGUGCGCCAAUGAAAAAGGGAAGAGUAAAGCCAGGUGAUGUUAUCAGGAAGUCAAGCAAGUAGCGCAGUAAGGGGCGCCAUAUGAUAAAAGGGGAAGAGUAAAGCCGGUGAAGCCGGUGGAAACGUAUCAGGAGAAAUAGUAGAGCAGUAGCAGCAGUAAGCGCAAUGAAAAAAGGGGAAGAGUAAAGCCGUUGAAGCGCGGUGAAGUAAUCAGAGAGUCAAGCAGUAGCAGCAGUAUAGCGCAAUGAAAAAAAGGGGAAGAGUAAAGCCGGUGAAGCCGCUGAGUACAGAGAAGUCAACAGUAGCAGCAGUAAGCGCAAUGAAAAAAAGUGGAAGAGUAAAGCCGGGUUGAGAUCGAGACGUCAGCAGUAGCCAGCAGUAAGCGCAAUGAAAAAAAGGGGAAGAGUAAAGCCUGUGAAAGCCGGUGAAGUAUCAGAGGAAUCAAGCAGUUAGCAGCGGUAAGCGCGCAAUGAAAAAGAGGAAGAAUAAAGCCGGUGAGCCGGUGACAGUAUCAGAGAAGUCAAGCAGUAGCAGCAGUAGCGCAAUGAAAAAAGGGGAAGAGUAACAGCCGGUGAAGCCAGUGAAGUAUCAGAGAGUCAAGCAGUAGCAAGCAGUAAGCGCAAUGAAAAAAAAAGGGGAAGAGAAAAGCCGGUUGAGCCGGUGAGUAUCAGAGGAAAGUCAGCAGUGGCAGCAGUAAGCGCCAUGAAAAAAGGGGAAGGUAAAAGCCGAUGAAGCCGGUGAAGUAUCAGAGAAGUCAAGCCAGUAGCAGCAGUUAGCGAGGAAGAAAGGGGAAAGAGUAGUCGGCGUGAAGUUAUUAGAGAGUCAAGCGAGUAGCAGCAGUAAGCGCAAUUGAAAAAAAGGGAAGAUAAGCCGGUGGAGCCGGGUGGAAGUAUCAGAGAAGAUCACAGCUAGUCGUAGCAGCAGUAAGCGCAAUGAAAAAAAGGGGAAGAGUAAAGUCGGUGAAGUAGAGGAGUCAGCAGUUCUAGCAGCAGUAAGCGCAAUGAAAAAAAGAGGAAGAGAAGUGUGAAUAUCAAAGAAGUCAGCAGUAGCAGCAGUAAGCAGCAUGCAAAAAAGGAGAGUAAGGGUGAAGCCGGUGAAGUAUCAGAGAAUCAAGCCAGGAGCAGCAGUAAAGCGCAGAUGGAAAAAAAAGGGGAGAGUAAAAGCCGGUCUGAAGCGGUUGAAGUAUCGAGACAAUCAGCUAGCAGCCAGUAAGCGCAAUGAAAAAAGGGGAAGAGUAAAGCCGUAGAAGCGGUGAAGUAUUAGAGAGUCAACAGUAAAAUUGCUGCAGUAAGCGCAAUGAAAAAAAGGGGAGGAGUAAAGCGGUGAAGCGCUGAAGUAUCAGAGAAGGUCAGCAAGUCAGCAGCAGUAAGCGUAAUGAAAAAGGGAGAAAGUAAAGGCCGGUGGAAGUAUCGAAGAAGUUAAGCAAGUAUAGCAGCAGUAAGCGCAAUGAAAAAAAGGGAGAGUAAAGCCGGCUGAAGCCGGUGAAGUAUCAGAGAAGUCAAGCAGUAGCAGCAGUAAGCGCAAUUGAAAAAGGGGAAGAGUAAAGCGUGAAGCGGUGAAGUAUCAGAGAAAUCAAGCCAAGUUGCAAAGAAAAAAAAAAAAAAAAAAAGCAGUUAAGCGCAAUGAAAAAAAGGGGAGAGUAAGCCGGUGAGCGCGGUGAGUAUCAGAGAAGUUCAAGCAGUAGCAGCCAGUUAAGCGGCAAUGAAAAAAAGUGAGAGUUAACCGGGUGAAGCCAGUGGAUCAGAAGAAGUCAAGCAGUGGCAGCAGUAGAGCGGCAUGAUAAAAAGGGGAAGAAGUAAAGCCGGUGAAGCCGGUGAAGUAUCAGAGAGUUUUCAAGCAGUAGCAGCAGUAAGCGCGAUUGAAAAAAAGCGGGAGAGUAAAGCCGGUGAAGUCGGUGAGUAAUCAGAGAAGUCAAGCCGUUAGCAGCAGUAAGCGCAAUGAAAAAACAAGGGAGGAGUAAGGCGGUGAAAGCGGGAAGUAAUCAGAGAAUUCAAGCAGUUAGCACAGUAAGCGCAAUCCGAAAAAGGGGAGAGUAAAGCCGGUGAGCCGGUGAAGUAUCAGAGAAGUCAGCUAAGUAGCAGCAGUAAGCGCAAUGAAAAAAGGGUAAAGAGUAAAGCCCGGUUGAGCCGGUGAAGUAUCAGAGAAAGAGAAAAUAUAUCCUCCAGAAGAAACUAUAAUCCGCCAAGAGUUACAGCGCCAAAAGAGUGCUAAAAGAGUUACAAGACUGUCAACCAAAAAAAACGUCUGGAAUGAAAAAGAGUGAGGUUUGUAAAAGAUGCAAUCAAAGCUUUCAUAUGGAAUAGGCACUAGUAAGGGCAUAGAAAUGGUUGUAAAUGAAGAGAGAAAGAUGAAAACAAAGCGGAAAGGUGUAAUGCUAGAGAAACAGGUCCAAUCCAGCAAGAAGAAGACAGAAUGAACAAAGGGCAAGGGUAAAUGCUACAGAAACAGGUGUCAAAUCCGCAAAGAGAACACAGAUGAAAACAAGGGAAGGGCAAGCUGAAAUGUGAUACUCAAAUUAACCUGCAUGUUCGCAUGUCAGCUUUUAUUUCAUUGUUUUCAUUUUGUAUGGAGAUAUGAUGUUUCAUUUCUUUUUUCAUAUUUUGGAUAUUACAAAUUCAUUGGAACGUUUUCUUUCUUCCAUUUUUACAUUCUUUUAUACUCUUUCUGUUAUAUUAAACAUUGUAAUGCUACCAAUUUGAUAUUACAUAAUUGUUCUUAAUAUGUAUAUUCGCCAAAUCAUGAGAAUCUCUUUUCUCAACUUUUCCAUUUCAUUAUGCGUCUUGACUUUGAAAUUAUCUUUCUUCAAUGUAUUUAUGGAGAUCACAAGAUGCAAACAAAUGUAAUUGAUUACAAAGAGACUAGGCUGAAGAUUAAUUUGAGCCUAUUGCUUCCUUCUGAGAAAUAUUAUGGACAGAGACGCAUGACCGAUAUAUUUCACAUGGAAUGCCUUAUAGCACAAGAGUUCUGAUGUUGAAGUAAAUUCAUACGGACGGAUUACUCAAUUGAAUCACAAUAUUAACUAUGUGUACGAGAAUUGUGUUUUGGGUCUGAAAAUUUUAUUUGUAACACGUUUCUUGUGCAAUGCGAAUGCAGUUGCCAAAACGGAAGUCAAUGUAUAGCACUUUCAGUAGGCAGGUCUGUGGGAGCGUCUGCAACAGGUUUGGGUCUAGGUUCUGAGCAAAUCGCAUUAUGUCUAUCUGUAGUUAGCUUGGAUGAUAUGUUUGAAUUUAGAACUGCUCUUUGUUUUUGACAUAACAUAAUGAUUAAAAGGUUUUGUAUUUGUCUGCCUCUUCUACAAACAUGGCUUCAUAGUCUCAUCAGAAACCCACCAGAAAGAGGCUNAGGAACCACAUGAAGAAGUUGAAUAAUUUUCCAAGCAUUACCCCCUACACUAAAUAUUUCGACUUUGUUGGGACUCAAAGAUAGAAUCUUAUAAGUAUCGGUUGAAUUAUCAUAACCAAAUGAAAAGCGGGAAGACCUGCGAUAGUCAUAUGCAUUUUGGUGAGGAUUGGAGUGAUGUCCAAAGUAGACAGAAAAUGUGUGGGCGGCUGGGUUCCAUAAUUGAAACCAGGUGUAUUGAAGAUCUGUUGAAGAAAUAACACUGAAACAUAUCAAUCCAUUGCAGGAACCAAUGAAUUCGUAGCAAUUGUCGACGCUGGCUGAGAUGUAUUGUUUGGUGUACUUUAUCAUGGAAGGAUUGUUUAGUAAAGUAUUGAGGGGAUAGGGUUGGAUAACAGAUUCCUGAGACACGCCUAAGAUUUGUGUGAGAUUCUUUUUUUUUUUUGAACGUUGAAGAUGCAGUUUGAUAAAUUUUGGAUCGGAGAUGAUGGCGUUCCAUGCUUUGGUCACGCAUCUCAGUUGCGUCAAAGAUCUAACCGGAAGGUAUGACAGAACUUGUAAGAUGAGUUCUUCGGGAAGGAAUAAUAGAUUGCCGUUGGAUUUCAUCACAACUUGCGCACUCUUAAAACUGAAAUAGAAAUAGAAAGCUGAACCCUAAUAAACGUAAACAAGCUGUUACUCAUUUAAAUAGGGUUUCUUAAAAUGUUUUUUUUAUAUGUUUGUAUCCUUUAAUUUUUAUGUGAGCCCAACCAACAUGCAAAUUCGCCUUUUUGUUUUCUAUAUUUUUUUAAACCAUUCUAAGGAAUACACUAGUGGUAUUAUUUUAAGAUUUUAAAUAAUAUUAUAUAUUUUAAUUUNUUUUUUUUAUAUGUUUGUAUCCUUUAAUUUUUAUGUGAGCCCAACCAACAUGCAAAUUCGCCUUUUUGUUUUCUAUAUUUUUUUAAACCAUUCUAAGGAAUACACUAGUGGUAUUAUUUUAAGAUUUUAAAUAAUAUUAUAUAUUUUAAUUUUUAAUAUCUAUAAAAUUUUACAUAAAUUUUUAUUAUAGAAAGCGAUACAGAACCAUAUAUAAAUAAAAAUAAAAGCUUACAAAAUAUAGAAAAAGUAAUCGAGCGUGUAUAUAGACCAAUAUAUUUAGCAAAAGUCCAAGUCAAAACAUCAAUAAAAAAUUGCCUAACCACAAAAAAAAAAGGAAAAACUAUUACAAAUAUAUUCAAAUAAUAAUGACAAAUAAAUUCAAAUUACCUCAUUUUUUAUAUUACGUUCAUUCCUUACAAACUUUCAUAUUCUAAAUCAUAUUUAAUGAUGUUUUUAUGUCAACACUAUCAAAUAUAUUAUUGAGUUUUGAUGUCUACCAUAAUUUAUAUCUAAAUAUUUUGUGAUUCAAAAUUGAAAUUUAUUAAAAUAAAAUUAAAAACAAAUACUCUAUUUACUCGUAAAUUACUUUUUCUGUUCAUCAUGUCUCCCUUUUUCUAGAAAAAACAAAUACUCUAUUUACUCGUAAAUUACUUUUCCCUUUUUCUAGAAGCUAAAUAAUCCCCGAAGCAAAUUACUCAAACCCUAGCCGCAUAACAUUUAAAAAAAAAAUCUCAACAUCAACCACAAUCAACUAUAAUUAGUCUGAAAUCCUAAAGCCUAGGAGAAAAAUAGGGGCUUCGGUGGUGAGAAGAUUGAUAUGAAAGGAAUAAGUCUCACCGGAGCUUCGCAACUCCGGCGAGAUCCCGACGGUCGAAGAAAUACCUCAGGUAAAGGAUUGCGACUCUUACUCUUUAGCUCCAAGUCCUCGACUUCUUCUCCCCUUCUUCUUCAAAUCUUCACCCUCUACUCGUCAAAGCGCUUUUUCUAAUGAACUGCGAUUUCGUCCAGGUUGAUUGAGCUUUGGUGUGUAGGUUGGGAUGUGAUUUCAGCAGGGUGACGGUGCCAGAAGGGAGAGGCCUUUCAAUGAAUGAGCGCUCCCUUUUAUAGAGUUCAAUACGAGGUUCAAUCCGCUCCUCCUUCAUGAGCUGGCAAAUCUUUGGAUGAAUCAAUCCGUUAGCCAAAAGAAUCUCGUCCAGAUUUGGUGGUCCUCCCUUUUGACGUGGACCCCAAAAUGAAGGUAUU
rnacentral:lncRNA from 1 species